CUGCUUACACCUCUCUGGUGUCACUUCAGCCUUGUGGGGUCCCGUGGGCUGGAGGGUGCAGGGCAACAAAUUGCAGGGGGCAAUUACGCCCUGUGCUAAAGAGAGCAUUAAGCCAGGCACAAUUUCCGUGGAGGAUGUUGCUCGGCAAACAGCAAUACAAAAGCGGAAGCAAAUAAAAAGGUUUGAAAAUUGCUGUUGAAGAAGGGGUCUGGCCUCGGUGAUCCUCGGAGAUGCUGGCGCUUUUCCUCCGUCGAUUCUUGGCUGGGAUGUGCUGAGGUGGUACCUGCUGUGUGCUGGAGCAUCCCAGAUUCUUCCACGGUGCUGACCAUGUUGGAGCAGCCCUGGCAUGAGCAGCAGAGUGGAGGUGGCACAGAGGAGACCAGGGAAUGUUCUCUGGCACAGGGAAAGGGUAUCUGUCAACACCUGAGCAGAAGGGGGGCAGGUGCAGACAUGGCCAACCUGGGUGAAACUGGGAAAUGGCCCUCAAAGGGAAAUGGGAGCAGAGAGAAACAUUUGUAGAGCAGAGAAUGUAAAGGAAUGAUACAUUUUUAAACCUGUUGGGGAUGAACUUGGGUAUUCUGUUCCUAACAAAUUUGAAACUUUUCUCCUUUUAGUUCCUCUUUGUACUAACGCUGUUCAGGCUCCAGCACAAAGCACAAGAUCUUGAGGAGAGCUGGCACUUGUGGAGGCAAACCAGGAGGAGAUGGUCUGUUCUGAGCACCUGGAAAGCUUCUCCCCUUCCAAGCGGAAGGAACUUUUACUGCUGUUGAGAAGUUGCUAUAAAAGCCAUUUUCCAGUGCAGAACUCGUGGCAGAGGGGCCUGUUCCUCUGGGUCUCUGGGUGAUGGACCCUGUUCUCUCCCGAGCCCACCCGCAGAGCCCUCUCCCCUCCCCACUGCCCGGGGUGCCCGGCCCCCCUGUCCCCAGGAGGGCCCUCUGGAAGGUGCCAUCUCCUCGCAGUCGCUUUUGUUUGCAGACAGUGAGUUUUCCAUCAAAGCUGCUGCUGCCUUUCAUCCCUGGGAAGAGCUGCCCGUGGGCACAGCCUUUAACCGGCUGAUUGAGCGAUCCGGAGCCUUUCAUGGUCCUGCUUUUAUCUUGGGAAUGGGGCUGCUCUCCUUGGAUUCGAGGGCUUAGGGGAGGGUGGAGGGGUCGGGUGUGAGCAUCGUGCUGCCCCCACUGUGCUCCAUCCCUGGUACCCCGAGGAUGGGAGGAUGGGCUGCAGCACAGUCCUGCUUUUCCCCCUGGAGCUGCCACUGCUUUCUCCUCAGAGGACAGAAAGCCCAAACGUUCAUUUUAAUGUUUAAUGCUCUUCACCGAGGUGAAAGCAGAGGGAGGAGGGGGAUCGCUUCCUAUUUAAGGGCCUCUGUCAGUGCCCGGGUGUUCAGGUGGGAGGGUCAUGGGCUAAAUCCCACCCCAAUUAACCUCCACACUGCGCAGCGGGGAGAUGGUUUGGAGGAGGAUUCGGCAGAGCAGCUGCUGAGCUCGGCACAGGGAGAUCUUACAGCGUGACCGGGACACAUCGCUGCCGACAGCCGAGGAGCUGCAGGGUCUGCUUGGCCACCAUCCAGGAGGUGACGGGACGAGGGUGAGACCUGGCUGGUCCCCUCGUGCGGCCGUGCUGGGGAUGCUGAGACACCACACGGUGCUGUGUCACCCCCACACCUUCCUCUGAAAGAUGGGAGAGGCGAGGGGGGGCUGAGUAGCAGCAGGUAUAAUUCAGUUUGAUUUCUUCCAGACUCUUCAUUUGCUGAACGUGUCAGCAGCCCUGUUGUAUAUGGGCUGUUCUGUAUCAAUUUUCUGCGAUGCCAGGCCAUAAAUAAAGAAAAUAAAUGUUAGGCCCGUUAAUCAGUUGCUGCUCACCCAAAUGAGUUCCUUCUGCAUUUCCCUGUUCUAUAAUUACUUGUCACCUCUUGCUGGUUUGUAACUUCUCGCUCUGUGAUUCUGUUGGGUGGCUUUUCCCUGUUUCUGAUGGGAUCAAUCCGUUUUGUGCGUGGCUGGGAUUUUGUUGGUUGGGUUUUUUGUUUGGUUGGGUUUUCCCUUUGUUUGCUUUUUGGUUGUUUGGUUUGUUAGUUUGUUUUGGGGUCUUGCUUCUUUUCCCCAGGUGGAGGGUGCUAAAAAGCAAUUGACUGUAGGAGGUUUGUUCCAGCUGAGGAGCUGAGGGAGAACAGCUUCCACCAGAGCUGUGUUUUAAUUUCCAGAACAGGGAUUCCCGGCACCGGUUCUGCAGUUCCUGCAAACAGACUUUUUGCAAACCCACGUUGGUCUGUCCCAUGCUCUGGAGGAGUGGAGACAAGGAUCCUGCCUCACAGCUCUCCUCUGCAUCAACCUCCCAGGCAGGAAUCCGCGGUGAUCGAUCACUGCUGGUGAGGACCACUUGAAAGCAGACAAGUCUAAUGGGUGAGGAACAGCUGUGGAAGCACAGUGUCAUUUUUCAGCCAGGCCCUCCACGCUGGAAUCCAGAGCUGCCUUCCCCUCCCUUCCCCUGGUGGGGCAGCCAGGCUGUGGUGUGGGGCCAUCAGGUGGUGCAUGUCCUGUGCUCCCAGAAUGUUUCAUUGAGACAACAGGGUUCCUCCCAGCUCGGGAUCUGUCCUGGGGUUUUCAGGCAGUGGAGAAUUUCUUGUCUUUGCCCUGGGUCUGUUCAGGCAGCAAGACACGACAGAUCCUUCCUCUGCCCCUUUAAAAUCUUUCAGGAUGUGAGGAUGACAGAUGUGGAUCUGGGGUCUCCAGUGGGAUUUGGAAGGACAGAGCCCAACCAUCCAUCUGGUCGGGAGCUCGGCGCUGCCACACAACCUGCGAAUCGCCUCUGGCCUUGGCUCCUCCAAACCCACAGCGUUUCUGUGACAGGAUGGGGGAUGCAGAACUGUUGUUUGUGUUCACAGAAGCUGGAGAUCAGCUGCACCUGCCCUUUGGGGGGCUGAGGCUGAGGCUGAUUGAGACGGACAAGGCUGUGCGGGAGCAGACUCAGGCCAGUCGCUGGAAAGACCUUACCGCCAGUCUGGUGCAGCCCUACAUUUCCCCAUCAGUUAUUUAUCAGCAUAAAAGAAUUAUUUAUCAGGAUAAAUAAAAAAUUAUUUAUCAGGAUAAAUAAUUAUAUAUUGGUGCCAUAGUGGAUGCAAAUGAUUUAAUUAAUAAUACACGCUUCAAGAGGAAUUUGCAAUUUAAAGGGCUGUAUAAAAGCCUGGUAUUAGCAAUACUUAUUUUUAUUAAUUAAUUGAGCUCUCUCCAAAUCUCCAUGGUGAAUAAUUUUCCCAUCUUUUUCAUUUUUAAUUUAUUUCAGUGGCUCUGGGAAGAGGAAAGGCGACCUAGCAGUGAGCUGUAGGGAAGGUGUGGGAUGGGGGGUCCCCAGCCCUUGGCUGGGCUGUGGCUCAUUUGUUCAGCCUUUGGUGCUGGAGAUGUGGGGAUUGUGGUCUGUGAGACUUGGGGUCUGUGAUCUUACCCACAGGUUCUACUCUUAGCAAUAGUUUCUGUUCACUUUUUUAGCUGGCACCUGUCCCCUGGGGCUGCCUUGCUGCUCUUUUGAACGGUGUGUUUGGUUGAAACUGUUUCCAAAAUCAGGAUACGGUGCUUGUGCUGAUUCCUUCAGCACAGCAAAAGGGAUCCCGGGUGGAAUUUACAGCUUUGGAAAGCCCUGUCAUCUGCCUGUUUCUGCUUCUCCCUUCAGCUGACGCCUCCAAACUGCCCUGCUGGUCCAGGACACGCAGCCCCUGCUGUCACACCUGCUGGAAGGGGCUGAGCUGCUUCUCCCACGGAGGCAGGAACGUGCUGGCAGGAGCAGGGAGGGCAGGAACAGGUUCCUUUCCCCUUCUCGAGGCAUCCUGAGAGCCGCUCUGUCUCCCACUGAGCAGGACCCGGGGGCUGCCGGGAGGAGGUGGCAGCUCUGCCCUCGCUCUGAUAGCGAAGUGCCUCGUGUGACAUAUUUGGGCUCUUCCAGCUUCUCUCCUGCAAUGGGUGACUGCUGCUCCAGAGCACAGGGAGAGUGCCUGGCCAGUGUGUGCCCAGGGCCUCUCUGGAGGAACAGCCCUGGGCACUGUGGUGGCAGGAAUGCUCUGCCCAUGAGCACAGGCCAGCACAGCCAUGGCAGGAGGUGGGUGCAGCACUGAGGUGUGUGAAGCCAAGAGAGCAUUCAUUAAUCACAUUAAUGAGGACAUGGUCUGAGAGUCACACAUGGAUGAGAACAGGACUGAGUGGUGAUGGACAGAACCAGCAUGGGCUGAGUGGGUCUGGUGUGGCCUCUGGGAUGCAUCAGCAGGGUAAGGCAGCCCUGGGACCUGUGGCCAGGACUGGGACAUAAUCCUGUGUCCUGAGCAGAGGACAGGGACAUGAUCCUCUCCCAGCAUGGCGCUGGUUAAACCACUGGAAUUCAGAUGGCUGUGGGCAAAGCAUCACAGGGAGGAAAUGGAGAAGCAGCAAAGGGAGGGAAUUGCAGCCUGGAGGAAGAUAAAGGGUUUAGAGAGGAUGGCUGUGAAGAAAGCGAUUAGAGGAAAUUAAACAUGGCCAGGCUGGAGGUGGAGGCUGGUGCUUUCCCCACUGAACCGUGCAGGGCUGGCGAGGGAGAGCAGCAGGAACUGGAACACGAGGCUGACACGCAUCUGAGGGCAGCUGGGACCAGUUCUGGGCUGGAACCCAGCAGCACAAGGGCAAAGGGGCUGGAGGAGGCAGGAGGAUGUUAAUUCCUGCCUGGCAAAGCCCUGGUGCACACGCUUCAUGAAUCCAAAGGAGCUGUUCUGCCUCUGGUUUUCAGUCUAGUGAUGGAACAUCCAGUGUGGGCCUGGCACUUCCCUUGGACAAACGUCUUGCAAGGGACAGAUCACCUGAGGCAUCAACAGCUGCCUUGAACUCAGCAGGUUCAUCACCUGGAAAGAGCCCCGUGAGAUGAGUGUGUCAUUCCCAGCACUCCAGAGCUCUGGCUGGACGCUCGCCUUGCCCUGGCAUCUCUGGAGAGGCUGGAGGACUGAUCCUUGUGGUGCCAGCACAGGGCAGGGUUGGAAUUUGGGGACAGAUGUGGCUGCUCUUGCCUGUCCCAGCAGUGCUGUCCCCUGCAGCCACGCUGUUCUGGUGAGGGAGAGGACGAGCGGGGCUCCCGGGGCUCCCCAGCUCCCUGGGCUGCUCCUGGGAGGUGCAUGAUCCCAAAACUUGAUUCCUAGAAAUCGCUGCCAGCCUGUGGGAGCCCUGGGAAGCGGCAGGUGUGUUGGUCACAGGCACUGUGCCAUGUCUGGGGUAGGAUGAGGAAUGGCCCCGAGGGCUGAGGGGUUCACAGCAGCCCUGUCUGCAGGGAGGCUGCUGGGGGAGGGCUGGUUUGACCCCCGUCCUCCUCUGCCACUGCCCCUUCUGAAAAAUAGGAAAGAACGAAAUCUCGUCAGUGGCUUUUAAAAGCCAGCUGAAAGUGUCCUUUAUUAAAUUACCACCCUAUUGAUCUCGCAGUCAUCCAAGAGGGGAUUGACUGAGGGCUUAAACAGACGCGCAGCUGGGCCAGACGUUCAAUUAAUGUGCAUAAACGGGCAGUGGAGAAGCAAUUUUCAGAACAAGUCAAGCAAAAGAUCAGACCUGCUUUGCCUUCCAUGCCAAAGUUGUUUCUGUAUUUAUUUUCAUGUUAUUUCAUUUUUUCCCCCCUGUCCCUCUUAUGAUAAGCAGAGUGUUGAGAAGCAGCUCUCAAAGCACAGCUCGCUCUGCUUGGAAGAGGGCACGUUGGCAGGAGGGCUGGGGGAAAGCCACAUCCCUCGAAGGACUCACACCUGAGGGGGGUUUUAGCCAUGUAAAUCCCAGGUUUCACACAUGAGGGGGGUUUUGGGCUGUGUAAAUCCCAGAUUCUUCUUUAAUUCCUGCAGAGAAGGCCCUGUGCAGCAUCAGACCCAUCGCCUGGUUUGAACAUUCCUGUCUCUGAUGAACCUGGGAUUCCUCUUCCAAGCCUGGGGAAGAAUUUUGUGAAGAAAACCCUCUUUCUUGAUUGUCUCCUCCUGCCAGGGGCAAAGCCACUGAUGGAUAUACAAAUAUUCAACUUCACUCUGGCCUUUCCUGUGGAUGCUCCAAGGAACCUGCAGACAGGGCUGAAGCAGAGGGACACACUGGAAGGCAAAUCCCUGCUCUGCAUGUGUGAGCAAACCAGCCCUGUGUGUUUUUUUCUCUAGAUUUAGCAAGAAUCCUGAUCAGAAACUCUGGCUCCAGGGCCCUCAGUCCAGCUCCACCAGCUCCAGGGCUUUGCUUCUUGUCUCCCUUAAGCCAGAGGGCUCAGCUCCAUGGCUUGACUGACACGAAGCGUUCCAGCAUCAGAGACUGAGAGACAAACGAGCAAUUUGCCAAGAAAUUAUCCUUUGGGAUUCCUCCUCUCUCCAGUCGGUUUAAUUGGAGAAGCCCCAGAUGUAGUGGGGAGGGACAGGAGCCAAGUGCAGCCCCAGUCCUGUUGCCACACAUCCAGCAGCUCCUGUUCCUCCCUGCCCACCCUCUGUGCUGGUUUAAGGUGCAUCCACAGGGCUCUGAGCGAGACAGAAGUCCCACAGGCAGGUGCUGAGCCCAGGCUGCAGAGUGCUAUGGAAAAGAAUCUGCUUACAAGGUGCAAGCACGAGGGGAGGCUGCCCAUAUGCUGGGCCAUCUGCACCGCAGGCGGGAGGCAGCGCAGGAGGAGGAAGAGGAGGAGGAGAAGGCAAGGCCUGCCUGUGAAGAAAGGAGCAUCACAGUCCUGCUCUGGUCCCGUGCCAGUGGCUGCCCCUUGGCCCCUGCCUGUGCCCACCUGGCGUGCACUGUCUGCUUUUUGAGACUGAAAAGCUUGGAGCCCUCCCUGCUCCAGCUCCUCUGCCCGUGUCACCCUGCAGCAUUCUCCAUCGUGGCACGUGGGGGCAGGACAGUGAGUGAAGAUUAAUAAAUGAAAGGGAAAGGGAGGGAGACCUGACCCGAGCUCCUCCUCUCUGAAUUCCAAUUAAAGCCAUAAUGCUGUUGGGAACACGACGUGGAGAUUAUGAACAUGUUAUUUAUAUUGAUUCAUCCCCCCAGCCCUCCAGACUUCUGGAAAAUAAUUAGGGCUGACAUUGCUAAUGCUGGAGCCAAGUGUUGGUAUCAUCUC